rnacentral:misc_RNA from 1 species
GUUUUGAUCAAUAAAUAAAUAAUUUUGAAAAUCACAAAAAUAACAGCUACAAGAAAAGAGUUUGCACCAACUGGGAAACUACAAUAUGCAUCUAAAUUCCAAAAAAAUACAGAAUUAUGGGUUUUCCAGUCAAAGGUCAAGCUCAAUAAUAGAAAACACAUACAAACACACACCAACACCGAAUUCUACAAACACAUACAAACAGCAUACUCCAACAAACUCCACUACUGGAAGGAGCUAGGUGGCCUAAUUUUGAACACUCACUUCAGUAACAGAAACGGGUUUCACCUUUGGGGGCCGACCCCGUGGCCUUCCAGUUCCCGUUGCCAUUGCCACUGCUGUGGUUGUAGUAGUUCCACUCAUUCCGCCUGUGGGCCGUGCCAUCUUACGUGGCCUUCCACUUGGCUUUCCACUACCUGCAACUGCAAUCUUUGGCUUCACUGGCUUUGGGGAUGCAUUUAGGUCCUUCGAUGGACGACCUCUAGGUCUGGCAGGAGUGAGGACUGAUCCCGGUGGCAAUGGAACUUUGCGUUUUGGGGGCCUGCCACGGCCACGCCUCAGAGGUGCAUUGGCGUCUGCUUUCAUGUAGUUGUUUUUCCGAAAGGCCAACUCCCCAGUACCCUUCAUUCUGUUGAGGUGGUGUGAGAGGAGUGUUGUAUGGGCAGCUGGCAAGUUCCCAUACUUUGAUACAAUAUACUUUGAAAUGGAAGUCUUAUUGGAGUCGUUUUUCUCAUUCAAAGCUACAAUUGCUGCAAAAAUCAUCUACAUAAAACGGCAAAACUCUUACAGAAUUAUAAUAAAGUGUGACAUGUCCUUAUCAGAAAAAAUCAAGAACCUGUAAAAAGUCUACAUUCUUGCAAUAAGAGCUUGAAGAGAAAUGGGUUGCAGUAAUAUUCUAAGACCCUUUUUUCAUAGGGUUGCCAUAAACCAAGCCAGAGAAAAUUUCAUUUGAUGAUGCAGAAACCCUUUUCCUUUCUUGGGAAAUACGACUACUGAGCACUAGCAGCUAAAGAUAAAGAAACUGAAAUUGAUUAAAAGCAAACCUGUGACAACGAAAAUGCAAAGUAAGGAUUACAGGAAGAUGGGUUUUUCUUAUAUUUCCCAAAAAUUUAUCUUAUUGCUGAAUAAUAAUAAAAGAAAAGUUAACCCAUAUGCAACAAAGAAUUUAACGCUACUGCCUCAAUAGAUGCCAAAAUCAUCUCAACACCACUAAAACACAAACAGAAAUUAAGAAUUUUGCAAAUUAGACAGUGAAAUUUACCCAAAAAAAUUCCAAUACAUGCAUGAUGAGAAGGUUUCGAAGAAAGUAAGCUUUUCAGGAUUACAAAAAAAUAUAAUCGAAAUCACAAUUUUCCAUUUGAACACCACAAAUUGAACAGCAGUAACACAAACUAAGGCAACGAAAACCAAAAUGUGUUCAAAAGAAUGCCCAAGUUUUUUUUACUCUUAAUCUGAGAAAGUUAAAAGUGCAGCAGCAGCAGCAAACCAUUGCAAACUCAAAUUGGGUAAUUCUCCAGAAACUCAAGAAAAUAUCACUUUUUUUUAAUGUUACAAACAAGAAAAGAAAUGAAAGAUGAACAAUAAUGCAUCAAUUAGAACAAAAACCAUUAAAAAUUAUUAAGACAAUAUUAAGAAAUAUUAAAGACGAUUUUCUUUUCUUUUCUUUCAUUUUCAUUUUGGAGGGAGUGGAAAGAAACAGUGUUGUGUAUGUACCUCAGGGUAAGGAGGGAGUGAUAGAGGUUCAUUAACCUCUUCAGCAGCCAUUAAUUUUUCACAGGAGAGAGCUAGAUAGAGUGGGAAAGUGAAAACUUCUUGAAAGUCUAAACUCAGCGAGUCCCCACACCCACAAGAGCAGCUCCCAACACCACCAACAAGAAAAACAGAUUUCUUUCCAUUUCAUCUUUUU